UACCCUACGGGGGGCAGCAGUGGGGAAUAUUGCACAAUGGGGGAAACCCUGAUGCAGCGACGCCGCGUGAGUGAAGAAGUCAUUCGUGAUGUAAAGCUCUAUCAGCAGGGAAGAAAAUGACGGUACCUGAGUAAGAAGCCCCGGCUAACUACGUGCCAGCAGCCGCGGUAAUACGUAGGUGGCAAGCGUUAUCCGGAUUUACUGGGUGUAAAGGGCGUGUAGGCGGGGAAGCAAGUCAGAUGUGAAAACCACGGGCUCAACCUGUGGCCUGCAUUUGAAACUGUUUUUCUUGAGUGCUGGAGAGG
rnacentral:rRNA from 1 species